UCCCUGUGCUGUACUGCAGGAUCUCAUUGCUUAUUCCCUCCAAAUGCAAUAGUUUGCAUCUACUAACCCCAAACUCCAUCUCCCCCCGCUCCUUUUUGUCACCCACAAGUCUGUUCUCCAUGUCCGUGAGUUUGUUUCUUUUCUGUAGAUAGGUUCGUUUUUGCCGUAUGUUAGAUUCCAGAUAUGUGGUGUCAUAUGGUAUUUGUCUUUCUCCUGCUGACUUACUUCACUUAUAUGAGAGUCUCUAGUUCCAUCCAUGUUGCUGCAAAUGGCAUUAUUUUGUUCUUUCUUAUGGCCGAGUAGUAUUCCACUGAGGCUUUUUACCACGUCUUAAUUCAUUCAACUGUCAUUGGACAUUUGUUUCCAUGUCUUGGCUAUUGUGAUUAGUGCUGCAGUGAAGCACAAAUUAUAGGGGUGCAUGUAUCUUUUUCAAUGAAUGCUUUGCCUGGGCAUAUGUCCAGGAGUGGGAUUGCUGGGUCAUAUGGUAGUUCUAUAUUUAGUUUUCUGAGGUACCUCCAUACUGUUUUCCAUAGUGGUUGUACCAGUUUACAUUCCCACCAACAGUGUAGGGGGGUCCCUGCUUUAGUUGUCUCUCUAAAAAUGUCUUUAUUUUGUCUUCAUCUCUGAGGAAUAUUUUCAUCUGAUGUAGACUCAUCAGUUGUCUGCUUUUUCUCUCACUGCUUUAAAGAUCUUAUUACAUUGUCCUCUGGUCACAGUAUUUCUGAUGACAAGUCAGCCAUCAUUCAUAUCAUUGCUCCCCUGUAUGUGAAGUGCUUUGCCUUUCUUUUUUUUUUUUUCCCCCUCUCAUUUCUGUCUCUUUCAAGAUUUUCUCUUUAUCUUUGGUUUUCAACAGUUUGACCUUGAUCUUUUUUAGGCGUGUUUUUAAUUAAUUGUGUUUAUCCUGCUUAGAGUCCUCUGAGCUUGGAUCAAUGGUUUGCUCUUAUUCAUUAAAUUUGGAAACUUCUCAGCCCUUGUUUGUUCAGUCUUUCUUCUGCCCUGUGUUCUUUCUUUUUUCCCUGGAGCAUUCUAAUUACACCUGUAAAAGGCUGAUGUUAUCCCAUAAAUCUUGGAUACUUUGUUCCAGGUUUUUUUUUUCUCUUUUAUUUUAGCUGGGAUAAUUGGUUUCAAUUUCCAAGUCUCUGCCGAAGUCCCUCAUCUAUUCAUGCGUUGUGUCCCCCUUUUCCACCAGUUCCUUUAAUGCAUUUAUUGCAGUUGUUUUAAAGCCUCUUCAAGGUAAUUCUAACAUCUUGGCUAUCUUUGGAUCUAGUCCUGUUGAUUGUAUUCCCUCUAGAUAAUUUUCUGCCCUUUUUUUGUUCCCUCCCCUCCUCUCCUGGUGGUAAGUUUUGAUCAAAUUCCAGAUGUACAUGAAAACCAAGAGUGUGUGCCUCUUCUCUCUGGCACUUUCACAAGGACUCAGAUCAAUCUGGUGUGUCAUUGUGUGAUCUGGGCUUUGUUGUUGCUUUUGAUACACUCGGUUCACUACUUGCUUCAAGUUACUCGAAGGCGGGAUGUGAACAUUUUCCCUCUGGCAGGUCUUGCUUCUCUCAAUUUUCUUUUCUUUUCUUUUUUUUUCUUUCAGAAGUUAUAUCUACGUUAUUCAUCAGAACAUACUUUCAUGACACGGAUUUCUUAUAUGCAUGCUUCAUUUCUUUGCUAGAUUAAAAACAACUUGAGUUCAGGAAUGAAAUCUGUUAUUGUAGAACUACCUCAUGUAAGAGAUGAUCAGAACUGUUGGUGGUGGUCUAUUCAGCUAUGUCAGAAAGAAGACCAAAAUGGUCAAGUAUUAAUAAAUAGCUUUUUUUUCUCCCCAUCAAAUGCGUUCCCAUUGUGGCUACGUAGGUUAAGAACCGACACGGUGUCCGUGAGGAUGAGGGUUCAGUCCCUGGCCUCUUUCAGUGGGUUAAGGAUCCGGCAUUGCCACAAGCCGUGGCAUAGGUUGCAGUUGUGGCUGGGAUCUGGUGUUGCUAUGGCUACAGGGUAGGCCUGUGGCCACAGCUCCAAUUGGAUCCUUAGCCCAGGAACGUCCAUAUGCUGCAGGUGCGACAGCCAAUUUUCUUACUUACCCUUCCGUUUACUAAAACUUGUGUGUGGCCUGCAUCAAGAGCCCCUCCCUGUGGUCAAGGACCGCUGCCUGAUACGUUAUGGCCCAGAGUCCUGCAGGGUUCUCUGCUCUCCCCAUUGCCCUUGAGCAGGCUUUGCAUACCUGUGCCAUGAGUGGCCUCCAAGGGGGAUAUACCAGCUCUCCCGCUCCCUCCCUCAGUGGUAGACUGCCACGACCCCCGACUCUGUGUGAGGCCCAGCGCCCAAAGGUUUCUCUAGUUCUCCUGCUUUGCUCUCAGAUAUCAGCGGGCCCCUGGCACUUGAGGUUAGGUGGGCUCUCCCCCAGCCAUAUGCCUUUUGUCCACUCCUCUCAUGCUCUCUCACUUAUCUCUGUCCUCACUGCCUUAGUGUCUUCUUCUGCUACCCAACACCUGUGCUUUGAACUCCAACUCCUCUGUGAGGCCUCAAAGGCCAUCACUAGUUUCAGAAAACCUUGCUGGUGUCCUAGGUCUGCAUUAGAUGCCCUCCCAUCACUCUAUAACUUUGCUGAGUUAAUUACCUUCUCUGUGUCUAGGUUUCCCGUCUCCAACUGAUCUCAUCAUUAUCUCGAGGAUUAAAAGAGUUAAUAGAUGUAGAGCACCUAGAACACAGAUGUUAAGAAUAGAAUCUCCGGGGGUUCCUGCUGUGGCUCAGAGGGUUCAGAACCUGAUUAGUCUCCAUGAGGAUGAGGGUUCAGUCCCUAGCUCCUUGCUCAGUAGGUUAAGGAUAUGGCAUUUGGUGUCGGUCACAGAUGUGGCUGGGAUCAGGCUGUGGCUGUGACAUAGGCUGGUAGCCGUAGCUCCGAUUUGACCCCUAGCCUGGGAACUUCCAUGUGGCUGCAGUAAUGGCUCUUCCCCCACCCCCCACCCCCCCAAAAAAGAAAAAAAAAACUGCCCAGAUUCAGAGCUUAGCUAUGAAACCUUAGGCCAGUCACUUCACUUCCCCAUGUGAUUCUUCAUCUGUAACAUGGAGAUGAUUCUACUCAUCCCGUGGAGUUACUGUUGAACUUGAGGGAACUGAUUCUUACAAGCACCCAGAACCCUGCUAAGCACGUGGCAUGAGCCCAAUAAAUGUUCAUGGUGGUGACGAUGAUGGACAGGCACCCCUCUCAGAGGCCCCCGUGCUUCCCCUGUCCGAGAACUCACUGCGCUGGAGUGGAAUCGUUUAUUUUCCUCGAUAGUCCUCGAAGUUGCAGGGCCAGGGGCUGUCAUAUCUCUUACUCAUCAUGGCUCAUGGAAGGCAACCCAACAAAUAUUUGUUCAGUGACUAACCUCAGGGAAAGGUUAGUAGCAAAGUAUGCAUGACAGCAGCCGGGGGUUGAACUCAAUGACGGGCUGCAAGCUCCCCUCAGUUGGAAUUUCUUUUGAGUGAAAAGCCCCAUUUGAACAAAUCCGUUUCUAUUUCGAGUCAUGCACAGCGUCCAUUCAUCCACCAAGCUAGAUGGGGUGGGACACUCUUUUCUUUGACCUUUGGAAAAGGGCAAGUGAAGACUGGUGGUGUUCCCCACCCAGAGUCUCUCCGUCAUCCCUCUAAAGCAGCCUCACCCCAAUUUUCCAGGUGAAUGUUUUCCCCUUCCUUUUGUGCACCGUGCUAAUCGUGGAACUUCCUGGGCUACGUCAGUGAUGUGCAUUCCUUGUAGAAACCGAGAGCGUCCACACCUAUCCAGAUUCUCAGCCUUAUAUGCCUUUUAAAAAUGUAUGGUUUGGGAGUUCCCGUCGUGGCGCAGUGGUUAGCGAAUCCGACUAGGAACCAUGAGGUUUCGGGUUUGAUCCCUGGCCUCGCUCAGUGGGUUAAGGAUCUGGGGUUGCCAUGAGCUGUGGUUUAGGUUGCAGACGCGGCUUGGAUCACCCAUUGCUGUGGCUCUGGCGUGGGCCGGCAGCUACAGCUCCGAUUCGACCGCUAGCCUGGGAACCUCCAUAUGCCGCAGGUGCAGCCCUAGAAAAG
rnacentral:lncRNA from 1 species